rnacentral:rRNA from 1 species
AGGGAAUCUUCCACAAUGGACGCAAGCCUGAUGGAGCAACGCCGCGUGAGUGAAGAAGGUUUUCGGACCGUAAAGCUCUGUUGUUGGUGAAGAAGGAUAGAGGUAGUAACUGGCCUUUAUUUGACGGUAAUCAACCAGAAAGUCACGGCUAACUACGUGCCAGCAGCCGCGGUAAUCGUAGGUGGCAAGCGUUGUCCGGAUUUAUUGGGCGUAAAGCGAGCGCAGGCGGAAGAAUAAGUCUGAUGUGAAAGCCCUCGGCUUAACCGAGGAAUUGCAUCGGAAACUGUUUUCUUGAGUGCAGAAGAGGAGAGUAGAACUCCAUGUGUAGCGGUGGAAUGCGUAGAUAUAUGGAAGAAUACCAGUGGCGAAGGCGGCUCUCUGGUCUGCAACUGACGCUGAGGCUCGAAAGCAUGGGUAGCGAACAGGAUUAGAUACCCUGGUAGUCCAUGCCGUAAACGAUGAGU